GACGAACGCUGGCGGCGUGCUUAACACAUGCAAGUCGAACGGAAAGGCCUCUUUCGGGGGGUACUCGAGUGGCGAACGGGUGAGUAACACGUGAGUAACCUGCCCUUGACUUUGGGAUAACUUCAGGAAACUGGGGCUAAUACCGGAUAGGAGCUCCUGCUGCAUGGUGGGGGUUGGAAAGUUUCGGCGGUUGGGGAUGGACUCGCGGCUUAUCAGCUUGUUGGUGGGGUAGUGGCUUACCAAGGCUUUGACGGGUAGCCGGCCUGAGAGGGUGACCGGCCACAAUGGGACUGAGAUACGGCCCAGACUCCCACGGGAGGCAGCAGGGGGGAAUAUUGCACAAGGGGUGGAAGCCGGAUGCAGCAACGCCGUGUGCGGGAUGACGGCCUUCGGGUUGUAAACCGCUUUCGCUCAUGACGAAGCUUUGUGUGACGGUAGUGGGUAAAGAAGCACCGGCUAACUACGUG
rnacentral:rRNA from 1 species